UACAGAGGUCUCAAGCGUUGUUCGGAUUCAUUGGGCGUAAAGGGCGCGUAGGUGGCGCGACAAGUCAGUGGUGAAAGCUCGACGCUCAACGUCGAGUCGGCCACUGAUACUGUUGGGCUUGAGCACUGUAGAGGCUAAUGGAAUUCCGGGUGUAGCGGUGGAAUGCGUAGAGAUCCGGAAGAACACCGGUGGCGAAGGCGGUUAGCUGGGCAGUUGCUGACACUGAGGCGCGACAGCGUGGGGAGCAAACAGGG
rnacentral:rRNA from 1 species